UCUAGCUCAAUUGUUCCCUUUUAGUACUAUGAUUUUAUUUCAUGACUUGUUGGCUACAAAUGCUAAAAUAUAGUACUGAUGUCAUAUUGAAAGUUCAUAACUAUGUGCUGUUGCUAUAUAUGGACUUGUUCCAAUGGUAAAGGGAUUAUUGGGAAAUUGAUCCAUAAUAUCGUGAACUUUGCACAAAUUCUGGUUUUUCCCAUGAACUUUCAAAUUAGUACCAUAAAUCAUGAACUUUCAGAUUGGUUUGGUAUUUCCCCAAUAAUCCAAGAAUUUUUGAAGAAAUUCCCUAAAAUGUGUUCCUAGGAUUUGUGAAAGUGAGACACAAGGUUUUGUGUUUUAAUUUUUGUAGCGUAGCGUCACAGGUGUGUGUUUCUAGUUGAAUUCUCUGUGUUUUUAUUAAAUUUGUUUUGUUUUCUUUGUUUUUAGAGUUCUAUUUUAUUAAAUAAAGUAGUAAUGUGUUUAAUAUUCCAAAUAGAUAUGCCAACAUGACAUGCCACUUAUAAGAAUUAUGCCAAAUAGGAUUCAAAAUGCCAUAUAAGCUAGCCGGAUUUUACUCUUGAUCCGCCGUGAGAAAUACCAAACAAAUCUGAAAGUUCAUAAUAUAUGGUACUAAUUUGAAAGUUCAUGGGAAAAACCAGAAUUUGUGCAAAGUUAAUGAUAUUAGGGGCCAAUUUCCCGGGAUUAUUCAUACCAUCGUUGGAGUUAGAAAUUAUGGACAUGCCCAAGUUAUGGUAUUAUAACAAUGAAGGAGAUAUUUUUUUAGCUUCAAUUAUAUUGAGGCUCGCACCUUGAUGAGAGAAAACAUCCCUACUGACUUACUUGGAGGAAAUGUUGGUAGGGAUGAAGAGAAAAUCUUGGACUGAGACUGUGGUGGUUGUAAUGGCCUAACCAUUGUAGUAUUUUAUAGUACAUUGAAACUGUGUACUCAUUUAUGGACGAAGAUGGAACCAAAUCAAACCAUGAAUGGGUUGUUCUUGAACAAGUCAGAAGGUGCUUUAGUACUUGGUUCAGAUGUUAGGAAAGCUUUAAGCAGUUUUAUCUGAUGAAUGAUGAUUCUUUUCUUCUAUUGUUAAAUCUUGGAAAUAGGAAAAUGCAUACAUUCCCAUUUUAUUGCUUUGGACUUGUCAUUUUCUUUUCUAAAUUAGAUGAAGAUUUGACUCCAUAUCUAUGAAUCCAAUUGUUUAAUUGCCUAAUCUAAAAAAAUAGGAAACGUAUACUUCCCCUCGUUAUUGCCUUGGCUUGUCGUUGCUUCUUUUUCUUAAUUAAUUUUCAAGUUUUCACUCCUAUAAUUCCUGAUUCGUUAAGAAGUUACCAAUUGUAAGAAGUGAUUGGUAAUAAAUUGCUCAUACACUCUCUGAAGUCAGUCAUCUAUACUCAAUAGAAUUGAAGUUGGCUGGAGGAGUUACAUGGUUUUCUACUUAUUUAUAUACGAAAUUGCAGCUUACUAAGUGGGUUACAUAAUCUUGUAGUCCUCUGGCCUCUAUAUUGAAUAAUGUAGGUAGCUACAAAUCUUAGUAUUCAUCUAUAUGGUAUGUAAUCGAUCUAGCUUGACCUUUACAUGUUUUUGUAGUCAUCUACACUCGAUAAUACCAAAGCUGGCUAGCGGGCAUUUAUUUAUAACUUUUCAUCAUGCAGAACGUAUACCUGACACGUUGAUUAGGAUAUGUCUCGCUCUGGUUGUCUGCAUGAAAUUGAUCGAACGCUUGUCAUGCGUCAAAUGUGAAUAAAUAAAGGUCCAUCCUCCCCUUCAUGGUAUAGGAAUUUCUUCUGCUUUCUUCUAGUAGUGUAUAUUGUAGAAGGUUUACUUUUUAUUUAGGAGUGUUUGCUUUUUAUUUAGGAGUGUUUCUUUGCUGUGAUGAUAAAAUCUGCCAUGAUUUAUAAGAGGUAUGGUUAUUGUCUUGAUGGUUUAUAAUUUUCUUUUUGUGAUUGUUUUUGUGAAUGUAUGGGGUGUUUCUAUCUUUUGAGAUUGAUAUUUCCCUCCCUUUGUUUUGCAGGGUUAGAAGAUGGAAAAUCAAAUUGUUGUUGGUGAAUUUGACAAAAGACAGGCUUGUGUUCGGGAUAGACAAUGGAGGGAUCCGAGCCUGCUAUCAACAAGAAGUAGAGAUUGAUUAUGUCACACAAACUAAAUGCACAGAAUGGUACUACCCAUUCAUUACGAUGUCAAAACCUCAUUUAACCAUUCAUUACUACGUGCAAAGCUCAUUUGCUAUCUUGACUGCAUAAGUUAAGCAAGUUUCAUGAUGUUGAUUGUAAUUCGAAGCCACGAGUCCUCUAUAUCCAGCACUUGAACGGAUCUGGUGGCGGGGAUGAAGGUGAGAGAAGGAACAGAGCUUGAGAAACUGCUUCAUGAGCAGAAAAUUCAUAGACUGGAUGGGCUCCAGUGCAGCAACGACGAGCAUAGAGGAUAAACAUGUUCAAUGUCUUGUACUUUUGAAGUAUCUAGGUUUACAAACACCACUGAGCCCAUGACUUGUUUGGCAUAAUCAUGAGCGUAGACGAACGAGGCAUUAGUCUCAUGUUAGACGGUUCAUCCACGUAUCUGGAUCAAAGCUUGAUAGUUGGCCAAAUAUUUAGGCAUUUGGUACAAAGCAUAAAGCAUCCGAAUAUGGCCGGGUACCAUAUGAACACGAUUUGAUUGUUGUAAUUUUUCUAGUGUUUUGGUUACACUUUUUUUCUUCUUAAAAGAUGGUUAUUCAUUUAUCUCCAUGAUGAUGGGAACUUCUGAUCUAUUAGAUGGAGGAAAACGUCUUACCGAUGCGAACUUCUGAUCUAUUGGAUGGAGGAAAACGUGUUACUGAGUUACGCUUCAUUGUAAAUUGUUUUGGUUACACUUGAGAGAGUAUACUUACUGUAUUAUAGGUAAAAGAAAUUAGAUAUCC